rnacentral:rRNA from 1 species
UACAGAGGGGGCAAGCGUUGUUCGGAAUCACUGGGCGUAAAGGGCGCGUAGGCGGCCGAUCAAGUCGGGGGUGAAAGCCUGUGGCUCAACCACAGAAUUGCCUUCGAUACUGGUUGGCUUGAGACCGGAAGAGGUAAGUGGAACUGCGAGUGUAGAGGUGAAAUUCGUAGAUAUUCGCAAGAACACCAGUGGCGAAGGCGGCUUACUGGUCCGGUUCUGACGCUGAGGCGCGAAAGCGUGGGGAGCAAACAGG